rnacentral:lncRNA from 1 species
CCUCAGGCCAGGGCAGCCCCCGCCAGCGCCAGCCGGCCUGGCUCCGAUCUGCCCAGGCGCUCCCUCCCGCGCCCAGCUUCCCUGGCCAGAGCCAGGGCUCAGGCUGAGCAGCGGCUGGGGGAGGAGGGACCGGGACACUGUCCCCUGGCCCAUGGUGCCUUCCCAGCUCCACUUUGACCUGUCUGAAGGUCCCCGUGGUGUCCCCUCCUCUCCGAGAAGGGUCAUUCAACUUCCUGGAGAGGGCAAGCUUCCCAGUCAGUACCUGGCUUGGGGAGCGAAGUCCCUGGUAGAGGAGCAGGCCCUCGUCCUGUCUCUGCCAUCGUUAACAGCCACAAUUAUUGUUAUUUGGAGAGACAAGCCAGAGGUGGGGAGGGACGCGCUGGGGUGACUGAAAUGAAGUCCUCUGUACGCACCGUCUCGCCAGGUUAAUACUCCUGCCUGUCGGCCUGACAGCUGCAAGAUUGAUUACCCGGCCUCCCGCUCUUUAUAACUCGAUCAGUCGAAUUAAUCUCUGGCUGUCGGCCCAUCUGAUGCCUGAAUCACAAAUUUAAUUUGGAGGUGCCGCUCCUCCCCCAUGCCGUCCCUCCCCUCCCCUCCCCUCCUCCUGGUGGCCCCCUGGCUUCCGGGUCUCCUGCUCCUCCUGCCCUUCCUUCCCUCUGCAGCCUCCUGGCCACAGGGAGCAGUGUCAGGAGCAGGAGGAGGGAGUCACUGAGCCAGCAGCCCCCGGGCCCAGACCAGGGAGGGGUCACGCCCCCCACCCCGGCCAGGCGCCCACCAACUGGCUCCACCCCAAGCGGAGCAAGAGGCACGGCUGACACUAACUCUUCCCCUCCCCACCCGGUGUGUCGCUAUGGAAAGUGGCAGCAGCUGCUGGAGAAGGCAUACCCUUCACGAGCAUCAGCAAUUGCAGUGACUGAACGUCCCAGCCUUCUCUCCCAGUUAAUCUAACUUGGGAAGAAUUGAGGUGUAUUCUGGCUCUGCUGCCCAUGAAAGGCAGAGAAUAACAAGCCAGAGGCAUAAACAGAUGUGCAGAUAUCUGCAGCUGGCUCUUCCCUGCCAAAUUACCAUGGACAGAACCCUGGCAGGAGGCCAGGAUGCCUCCCUCUGUUUGGAGUUCAGCCACUGGGACCCAUCCAAGUUCACCAUCCAUUUGGCAACCUCUGAGUGAGGGGAGGAGAUGCCAAGGAAGGGAGUGGAGAGGCUGCAGGCAGCCUUGGGUUUGGAAAAGGCUCCGGAGGCUUCUCAUGAAGACUUGGGUGGGCGGAGGUAACAGGGUGGGGGAAGAACAGGAAGUUCUGACCAGGCCCUUCCUGGACAUUCCCUGGAGUCAUCUUCCCAGGGUUGGACUGACUGGGAGUGACCUCAGGGUGGAUUCUUACAGCACUGCAUGGGCCUCUCACUCAGAGAUUGGGCAUUCCUGGAUCUGUGAUUAUAGUGGCUUCCAGUUGGUAUGGAGUGCAGGGAGUAGGGAGCAACUGGAAGAGGGCCAGUCAGGUGUCCCUAAAGACUCCAGCCCUGGAACAAGAGAUGGGGAAGAAGCUGGUUGGGACUGUUGUGAAACCAGGGGACAAAGCAGGGGCCAGGGGAGAAAGCAUGAGCUGCAAGAAGUGUUGCCCAAGCAGCCUGUAUUUAUUGAUACCCCAGAUCUGAACUAGAGACAUCAAGCCACUUCUGAGCUCCCUUCAGAUAGAUCCAAAAGAAUCUUUUCUCUUUAUUAACUUGACUUUCUCAUCAAGUCUAUCCACAUAGGUUGGGGUGGCAUGGAGCAGUUUUCCUGAGCUAACGGGCACGGCUCACGGCAGACCAUGAAGGGACUGGAUUCUGUGAGCAAUGGGGAACUGCAGAGCCAUGUGGGAAUAGUGGUGGCCUCAAAGGAGGAGACUGGCCACAGAGUGAGGGGGGCGUAGAGGCCAGGUGAGAAGCAAGAUGGGGAGCCUAAUUUGGAGCCUGCUGUUGUCAUUCAAGUCUCAUGAUGGGACCCUGAGCUACACAGUGGGGAAGCAGAGGAGGGAUGAACAAAGGAAGAAUUGGUGGGGCUUGAUAGUGUAUUUAACAGGAAUCUGAGACAGAGAGAGACAGUGUGGCCAUAUACAUUACUGCCAGUCCAGAACAGUUUGAGUAUGAACAACAUCCAACCAGUAGUUUUACCAGAACUGGACAAUCCACACAAAUCUAGGUACAUAGACACUUUGGUUAAAAUGACCCAAAGCAUGGCACUUCCGGUGAUAGCAUUUAUAGGGAAGCUGCUGACCAAAGCAAGGAGGGGAGGAAGCAAGUGUCGGGGUGGGAGAAGACAGGGUGAGAGGCCUGGCCUGGGCAUGUUGAGGGGGAGCGUGGAGACACUGGCCUGCAAGGAACCAGGAGGCCACCCUUUGCCCAGCCUCCGUGAGUGGUAACUUGGAAAUGAACAAGAAGUCGGAAUUUGACAUAUAAUGCGUAUCUUUUGACCCACUAAUGCCACUUCUAGAAGUCUGAAUCUCAGAAAUACCCACUCUUCUGCAAAAUGGUGUCAUCUUGGAAGGCUUCCUGUGGCGUGGAUUGUAACUCUUGGAAGAAAUCUGCAGACCCCAGGAAGGGAGACCUGUCUUCCUGGUUCCCCUGUGGAGUUGCGCACCCGUGCAUUGAGCUCCACUCAUGUUACUGACCUGGGAAAACCUCUGACAUUUUUGAUUGAAAAGAGGAAAAUCCAAAAUAAUAGAAUGGCCUGCCAAAGCUAGAUAAUCAUUUUUCAAAUGCCUUUGUGGGGGCUGAGGGGUGAAUAUGUAAAAGGCCUGGAUCCACUGGAUUCUCAAGGGCAGUGAUUAUGGAGCAGAGGGUGGGACUGCAGGGGAGGAAGGAGAGCUCUCCACAAGCUUCUGAAUUGUUUGAGAAAUCUGUACAAGCAUACAGCUCAGGCCACAUUUGAAAAGGAUGCUAAACAGGAUUUUAAAAAGACAAACUGAGGAUUCCCUCGGUGAUGGGUGAAGGUCUAGGUGUGGGCGACAGCAGAGAUGGGCUAAAGCUUGAGACCCAUCCCCAUGAAGAGGCGGCCAUGAGAGCAGGGCAGGGCCAGGGGUGACGCCCAGAGCGUCAGAGUUGGCUUCUGACUCCCCAGACUGGGGAGAUGGGCUCCGCUCCACCAACCUGGCCACUGCAGCCCUUCCCUCCCGGACCCAACCCUGCCUCCGGAACUGAGCCUGCAGGAAGCCCAGCUCCCUCUCUGCCGGAUGUAUCUGAGCAGAUGCACAGCUACCCAGACUCUGCUGCCAGAGAAAAGCCCAAGCCCGCGGCGACAGCCCGGAACCCGCUCCCACCAGGCACCGAUGUCGGUUCUCUCCCCCCGGCUGGGCCUUCUCCAGCCGCUGAGUGAGGCCCUGAGGUCCGGAGAGGACACGUGGCUUAGUGGGCCGCGAAGCCAGCUGGGCUGAAGGACGACUGGAGCUGGAGCGAGGCUGCGCCCUUAAUUCUGUCAGGGACCUUGGAGCAAGGGUCCUCUGUCUCGGCCCUAUAAAGAGGUCAGCAACUUCCUCAAAGCGGGGCGCUAGAGCCUGCCGGCCGCCCCUAAGAGAGGCCGACAGCUCGCCUGCCCUCCUGGCCGCCGGUCCCGCCCGAGCCGCUCGGCGCUGGGUGCUCCUCUCCUGACCCGGGUCCAGCCGGCCUCACGCGAGGCAAGUCCCGCCCUCGCGGGGCCACGGCUUGUUCUCCUCCCCCGAAUCCGGACCCCUUCAGAUCGCUCUGCCCACUCCGGCCUGCAGGAGCCCGCAGCGCAGCUCCACUCCUGCUCCCCGUCUGGGCUCCGUCUGCCCGGUCCCUCCCCGGCCCCGGCCCGGCCCGGCCCCCAGGCCCUCGCCCUCGCAGAACCGUGCGCGCGGCCGGGCGGGCGCGCGGCCGGGCGGGCGGGCGGGUUGAUUAUUGCUCCUCCGCCCCCCGCAAGAUGUAUCUGACUGUCAGGGGUGACAGAUGAAGACGAAGUGCAGGUGCGGCUCCGCGUCCUGCCGGGUUAACCCCUCCGCCGCCGGGGGGCGCUGAGCGGAGCGCGUGCGCGUGCGCGUGCCCCGCUGAGGCCACAGCCUCGCCUUCCCUCCCUGGCGUCCUUUUCCCCUUGCCUCCUCCCGCCACCGGCAAACGAGGUGAAAUAAUUACUCUCCAUUUAAACGCCCCACGUUUAAGCCAGAAUGAAAACAAAGUGAUUUAAUGAAAUUGUCUUUAAAAAAGAAAAUAAACGUCUGCUCCGCUGCCCUCCCUGGCCUGCAGGGAGGCCCCAAGCCCUUCAAAGUUAAUUAAAACAGGAACUAAAAUCACAUAAUCACUUGAGAGCCCUUCCGUCUCUGUCUGCAAGGUAAGGCAGCCCCAGGCCCGCCUCAGCCCGACCCUGAGGGCUCCCCUGCCUGCCUGUCCCUGGGGGACCCCUGCCCUUCCCGCAGACACCCGCGCGAGGGUCUGACCUCCCACUCCCGAGUCAUCAAAGGCCCGUGCUGGAGCCUGGUCGUCUCCGGGAGCCGCCUCCCCCUCUCAGGACGCGCCCAGCCUCGGCCCCCUGCGGCCCUCCCCGCAUGCGAGCCGCCGCUGCUCUGAGCUUUAUCUGUCUUCGCUGACCCCUGGCCUGGUCCUCAGCUCCCGCUCAGCACAGUUCCAGCUGCUUCCGCCUGGUCUGUGUCUGUUCCCCAUCAGAGGCCCCGCUGGAGCGCCAGCCCUUCAGCAGCCCAGAUAAAAGAGAUGGAUAGAGAUUUUUCCAAUCAAGGAAAAACUCGAAGGUCCUGGCCCGGCCUGCCUGUCACCGCCAGAAGUAUCCACCAGAUGGCACUCUUUCCACACUUCCUGUACUUCCAAGAGUUGCCAGAGAUGUCGCUUUGGGGCUGGGGCGCGACGUUGGCGGAGCCAGGUGUGCGGGCGCCUCCCUACUCCCCCUUCCCCCAGCGUCACGAGUGUCCUAGUGUCCUCCGUCCCCAGAGUCUGCGGUCUGGGCUUCUCCGAAGGCGAAGGCGGGGUCGUCCUCUCCAGCCGAGCCUCGGGCUUCUGUCGCCGAGCCGCCCCGCCUGGGGGCUCUGGCUCCGCCCAGUCCUAAACCGCCGGCCCGGGCUCCGUCUCGGGCUCCUUCUCCGCGUCGGUUCGGCGUGCGGCUGAAGGACUCGCUUCCCCACGAGGCCCGGGCGUGUCAGCCGGGGUCACGGGCACACACGUGUACCCACGGCCCCUCAUCUCACCCCUCACAGUGCCCCUGCGCCGAGUGGGGACGCCCAGCCCGGGACCGCCAGACUUGGGGGGAGGAGCCAGCAGGCCUCGAGGCCCGCGAAGCCUGGGCUCCGGAGGGGCGGCUUCUUCUUGGGGGCCUCUGCUCGAUAGGGGCGGCUUCCCGUCCUGUCUGCCCCAUCGAUCGGGCCUGGACUCCUGAUGGACACCCUAGGGCGUCUUGGGGAAGCCGCCUGAGGCCCUGGAGGCGGGGCGGCGGGGCGGGGCGGGGCGGACUCGUCCCGGCUAGGUCCUGG